rnacentral:rRNA from 1 species
AUGGUGAGCAAGAUGCCCAAGGUCAUAUGGCUGACAGGCACCUUCAAUGAUUCCAUCAAGGAGUGGCAGCAGCAGUGGUUCUAUAUCACCGAGCCGCGCGGUAAAAAGUGGGCCGCUGCUCCUGAAUUCAGGUCUAGAGCCCCCCUGCGGCUCACGUCCUGGCCCAAGAAGGGCCUGGACUGGUCCUCAUCCGAUGAGCUGUCGGUGCUCCAAACACGCGUCAAGGGCGUGGUAGACAAGGAUGUCAAACUCGUCAAUGUAGUCCAGGUGAUGUUAGUUCACCUGGUUCUCCCUUGCCAGCACCAAGCCUGUAAUUUGUGGGAAUACGACCCGGCCGAGCACCAGACCCUACGGGAGCUCUAUGGCUCCUCACACAAGGACAUCUAG